ensembl:lncRNA
AGAAAACACGUCAUUCGCAGGAAUAUGUUCUAACAACGUGGUGCAGUCCGUCGUUAAGUAAUUAUUAUUUGUAUUCAUUUGAUGGAAUCCAUCCGCACGGGAGGACAGCGAAAGGCCUCGUGGAGUCGUUCUGCGGGGAGAAAUGAUAGUCGCAUUAACCCUUCAACUCUUAUUUCAUGGCUGCAAUCGUUAAGAAGCUGGUGGAUUUAAUUACUGUCGGUGCAGGCUGGGAAGGAGAACCGGAGCAACACGUGAGCGAGCUGCACAGGUUCUCUCCUUGUGUUUGAGGAGGUGGUACAAGACGCUCGGUGACAGCACGCCUUCCUCUCUGCUCCUUUUUGUACCUCGCUGUCACUCAGAAGCUUCCAGUAUUGGCCAACGAAAACGGCCGCUGUGGUUCUGACGGGGAACCGGUGGGCUUCAAAGGACAAGAGAACAUGGCACGAUUGUUGCCCUCUCCCACUGC